rnacentral:rRNA from 1 species
GACAGAGGGUGCAAACGUUGUUCGGAAUUACUGGGCGUAAAGCGAGUGUAGGCGGUCCUAUAAGUCGGGUGUGAAAGCCCUGGGCUCAAUCCAGGAAGUGCACUCGAUACUGUGGGGCUAGAGUAUCGGAGAGGUUGGUGGAAUUCUCGGUGUAGAGGUGAAAUUCGUAGAUAUUCGGAGGAACACCAGUGGCGAAGGCGGCUCACUGGUCCGGUACUGACGCUGAGGUGCGAAAGCGUGGGGAGCAAACAGG